rnacentral:hammerhead_ribozyme from 1 species
AUACUUCUGAAGAGUCCUAGACAGGGACGAAAUGACUAUCCAGUAU